UACGUAGGGGGCUAGCGUUGUCCGGAAUCAUUGGGCGUAAAGCGCGCGUAGGCGGCCCGGUAAGUCCGCUGUGAAAGUCCAGGGCUCAACCCUGGAAUGCCGGUGGAUACUGCCGGGCUAGAGUCCGGGAGAGGCGAGUGGAAUUCCUGGUGUAGCGGUGGAAUGCGCAGAUAUCAGGAGGAACACCUAAGGCGAAGGCAGCUCGCUGGAACGGUACUGACGCUGAGGCGCGAAAGCGUGGGGAGCGAACAGG
rnacentral:rRNA from 1 species